AAAUGUCCGGGGCUAAAACACGACACCGAAGCCAUGGAAUGUAUAACAUUGGUAGAGGAGCAUUCUUAUCGCGGCGAAGCAGUACCGGAAGGAGCUGUGGAGUGAUAAGAAGAGAGAAUGCCGGAAUGAGUAGCGAGAGGAAGGUGAGAAUCCUUCCGGCCGAAUAUCCAAGGUUUCCAGAGUAAAGCUGAUCUGCUCUGGGGAAGUCGGGACCUAAGGCGAGGCCGAGAGGCGUAGUCGAUGGACAACAGGUUGAGAUUCCUGUACUGUCAUGUAACAGAACUGUGGGGACGCAGGGAGGAAAGAAGAGCCGGGAAUGAGGAGACCGGUGCAAGCGAGGUAGGAGUCUGAAAGGAAAAACCGUCAGACAAUCCGAAGACGUGAUGCGCAGCGAACUGAAGUAGCGAAGCUUCGGCCCCUAACUGCCAAGAAAAGCCGCUAUUGUUUGCAUGACACCCGUACCGUAAACCGACACAGGUGGAUGAGGAGAGAAUCCUAAGGCCGACGGGAGAAGCAUUGUUAAGGAACUCGGCAAAAUGACCCCGUAACUUCGGGAGAAGGGGUGCCUCGAAAGAGGCCGCAGAGAAUUGGCCCAAGCAACUGUUAGCAAAAACACAGGUCUAUGCAAAACCGAAAGGUGAGGUAUAUGGGCUGACGCCUGCCCGGUGCUGGAAGGUUAAGAGGAGAGCUUAGCGCAAGCGAAGGUUUGAAUUUAAGCCCCAGUAAACGGCGGCCGUAACAAUAACGGUCCUAAGGUAGCGAAAUUCCUUGUCGGGUAAGUUCCGACCCGCACGAAAGGCGUAAUGAUUUGGGCGCUGUCUCGACAAUGCACCCGGUGAAAUUGAAGUACCAGUGAAGAUGCGGGUUACCCGCGCCAGGACGGAAAGACCCCAUGGAGCUUUACUCUAGCUUGAUACUGGGAUUCGGUAUUGUCUGUACAGGAUAGGUGGGAGGCUAUGAACCGUGGACGCCAGUCUGCGGGGAGCCGCUGUUGGGAUACCACCCUUACAAUACUGGAUUUCUAACCUGCCGCCAUGACCUGGCGGAGGGACAAUGUCUGGUGGGGAGUUUGACUGGGGCGGUCGCCUCCGAAAGAGUAUCGGAGGCGCUCAAAGGUCCUCUCAGGAUGGACGGAAACCAUCCGAAGAGUGCAAAGGCAUAAGAGGGCUUGACUGUGACACCGACGGGUGGAGCAGGUACGAAAGUAGGACUUAGUGAUCCGGUGGUAGAAAGUGGGAUUGCCAUCGCUCAACGGAUAAAAGCUACCCUGGGAUAACAGGCUUAUCACUCCCAAGAGUUCACAUCGACGGAGUGGUUUGGCACCUCGAUGUCGGCUCAUCGCAUCCUGGGGCUGUAGCAGGUCCCAAGGGUUGGGCUGUUCGCCCAUUAAAGCGGUACGCGAGCUGGGUUCAGAACGUCGUGAGACAGUUCGGUCCCUAUCCGGCGCGGGCGUAGGAUAUUUGAGAGGAGCUGUCCUUAGUACGAGAGGACCGGGAUGGACGAACCGCUGGUGGAUCGGUUGCAUUAUCAAGUGCAUGGCCGAGUAGCCAAGUUCGGAAGGGAUAAACGCUGAAGGCAUCUAAGCGUGAAGCCCCCCUCAAGAUGAGAUAUCCCAUUCUUUAAAAGAAGUAAGACCCCUUGAAGACCACGAGGUAGAUAGGGCAGAGGUGGAAGUACGGUAACGUAUGGAGCUGACUGUCACUAAUCGGUCGAGGGCUUGACC
rnacentral:rRNA from 1 species